GACGAACGCUGGCGGCGUGCUUAACACAUGCAAGUCGAACGGAAAGGCCCUGCUUUUGUGGGGUGCUCGAGUGGCGAACGGGUGAGUAACACGUGAGUAACCUGCCCUUGACUUUGGGAUAACUUCAGGAAACUGGGGCUAAUACCGGAUAGGAGCUCCUGCUGCAUGGUGGGGGUUGGAAAGUUUCGGCGGUUGGGGAUGGACUCGCGGCUUAUCAGCUUGUUGGUGGGGUAGUGGCUUACCAAGGCUUUGACGGGUAGCCGGCCUGAGAGGGUGACCGGCCACAUUGGGACUGAGAUACGGCCCAGACUCCUACGGGAGGCAGCAGUGGGGAAUAUUGCACAAUGGGCGGAAGCCUGAUGCAGCAACGCCGCGUGCGGGAUGACGGCCUUCGGGUUGUAAACCGCUUUCGCCUGUGACGUAGCGUAAGUGACGGUAAUGGGUAAAGAAGCACCGGCUAACUACGUG
rnacentral:rRNA from 1 species